rnacentral:rRNA from 1 species
AGCGAACGCUGGCGGCAGGCCUAACACAUGCAAGUCGAACGGGCACCUUCGGGUGUCAGUGGCAGACGGGUGAGUAACACGUGGGAACGUGCCCUUUGGUUCGGGACAACUCCGGGAAACUGGAGCUAAUACCGGAUAAGCCCUUCGGGGGAAAGAUUUAUCGCCAAAGGAUCGGCCCGCGUCUGAUUAGCUAGUUGGUGAGGUAAUGGCUCACCAAGGCGACGAUCAGUAGCUGGUCUGAGAGGAUGAUCAGCCACACUGGGACUGAGACACGGCCCAGACUCCUGCGGGAGGCAGCAGUGGGGAAUAUCGGACAAUGGGCGCAAGCCUGAUCCAGCCAUGCCGCGUGAGUGAUGAAGGCCCUAGGGUUGUAAAGCUCUUUUGUGCGGGAAGAUAAUGACGGUACCGCAAGAAUAAGCCCCGGCUAACUUCGUGCCAGCCGCCGCGGUAA